rnacentral:misc_RNA from 2 species
AACGCACCUUGCGCCUUUUGGAUUUUCUAAAAGGCAUGCCUGUUUGAGUAUCAUGAAACCGAUCAGUGAACACUCUGAAUUAAUUUUCUCUGUUGCUUGCUGGACUUGGAUGCUGCUGGUUUUUAAUAAUCAGCUCGUCCGAAAUGCAUUAGCUUGGAGUUGCGAGUCUUUGAAUGCUCCCUGGCGUGAUAAUUGUCAUUAGUCAUGGAAGAUUGCAAGGCAAAGCUACACUCUGCUUCUAAACCAUUUUCUCCGGAAAAUACACUUAAUAUUCUGAUCUCAAAUCAGGUAGGACUACCCGCUGAACUUAA